rnacentral:rRNA from 1 species
UACGUGGGGUGCGAGCGUUGUCCGGAAUUACUGGGCGUAAAGAGCUCGUAGGUGGUUUGUCGCGUUGUUCGUGAAAACCUGAGGCUUAACCUUGGGCGUGCGGGCGAUACGGGCAGACUGGAGUACUGCAGGGGAGACUGGAAUUCCUGGUGUAGCGGUGGAAUGCGCAGAUAUCAGGAGGAACACCGGUGGCGAAGGCGGGUCUCUGGGCCGAUACUGACGCUGAGGAGCGAAAGCGUGGGGAGCGAACAGG